AUUUGUUUAGCACUGGUUCUGGAAGUGGAAGCCACGUUGUGUUACAGAAUCAUGGACAACUGACAGAUGCUAGAAUGGGCUAGAGUGGAUGAGAGUAGUGGCGGUGGGAGCGUGUCAAUGGGCCAGAAUGCUCUGUAAAUUGUUUGACAUUGUCUUGCAUUCACUCAUGCAGUCACUCAUUCUACACAUAUUUAUUAGGGCUCACUCUGAGCCAACCCAUAUAACCAAAGGGUGAAUCUGGGCUCUGGAGAACUGGCUAUUGGAAACCUACCCCGGUCUUCCUGUUCUUUAGUUACUGCUUCCUGCUAGGGCUUUAGGAUCUACUUCUCUCUUCCAGAAAGUAGGUAGCAUAGUUGAGCAAUUAAGAAGAGAGGCUGUCAAUGAACCCUAUCUGUAUUUUGUCUGGGUGACUUGGUCAAGUUAUUCCAUUUCUCUGAACCUGUUCCCUCAUGAGUAAAAAAUCCAGAGUUGAAACACCUCCUUGGAGGGCUGUUGGGUGGAUUAAAUGAAACAAUGCAUGUAAAAGAAUUGGCAUGGUUCCUUGCACGUAGGAAGCCUUAGAUAAAGUGUUAUUGUUAACAACUCAGAAGCCACAUGGUGAUUACGGCUCUAAAAGGAAUGAAAUCUCAGGGGUUCCGUAACCUUUCAGAAAAAUGAGGGCUCUCUUGGGCUGAAAUUCUGAAUGCUGGCUCUUGCUGCAAAGGUGGAUUGACUACUAAAGUGAUUCAUUUGGAUAAUAAGGGGUCAACACACACAUAUUCAGAGGAGUCCUCAGUGGUCAAGAGGAAACCAACCAAUGACAGCAAACUCUCCUAGAGAUGUGAAGAUGUAUGUGGAGUGGAGAGCAUUUCAGUUCUGCUGUAUGUCUCCAGGAAACCACUGGUUCCUGAAGAAACAGAAGACAAGACGGGGGACAGGGGCUGAAGAGACACUCACCACCUGCUGGGGAGGUUCCAUUCCUAUGAGUAAUUGGAAAACGUCCGAAAAACCCCUUAUUGGGAAGGGAUAUUAAAGCUACUUGUAAACAACACAAACAGAUCUGAAGGCAGCCAAUAGUCUGGGGCUGGCCAGCUGUUCAUUUUCAUAAAGGGCAACAUAAUUUUCAGCUUAGGGUUUUAAUGGCAGUUUAUGCCUGAUGCCAUAAAGCCCUGUAUCCAAAGUGCUCCCCUGAGGAAGAGAAAGAAAGGUGUGCAAAGCACAAGGAUAUUGUCGAUACCUAAUGUACUGAAUGGUCCCCAGUCCUCAAACUCAUACCUAACCUUAUUGCAUUCUCAAUGAAAAUGGUCCUGGCUCAUUAAGGAAAACAAUCAAUGGCCUUACUGAAGCCCAGCAUGCAUAUGUCUGAACCAGAAUAAAAAUGAGAGUUGCUUACAUA